CCUACGGGGGGCUGCAGUGGGGAAUAUUGCACAAUGGGGGAAACCCUGAUGCAGCAACGCCGCGUGAGCGAUGAAGGCCUUCGGGUCGUAAAGCUCUGUCCUAAGGGAAGAAUACUGACGGUACCUUAGGAGGAAGCCCCGGCUAACUACGUGCCAGCAGCCGCGGUAAUACGUAGGGGGCUAGCGUUAUCCGGAAUCACUGGGUGUAAAGGGUGCGUAGGCGGUAGGGCAAGUCAGGGGUGAAAGGCUACGGCUCAACCGUAGUAAGCCUUUGGAACUACUUAGCUUGAGUGCAGGAGAGGAGAGUGGAAUUCCUAGUGUAGCGGUGAAAUGCGUAGAUAUUGGGAGGAACACCAGUUGCGAAGGCGGCUCUCUGGACUGUAACUGACGCUGAGGCACGAAAGCGUGGGGAGCGAACAGGAUUAGAUACCCCUGUAGUC
rnacentral:rRNA from 1 species